rnacentral:rRNA from 1 species
UACGUAGGGUGCGAGCGUUGUCCGGAAUUAUUGGGCGUAAAGCGCUUGUAGGCGGUCUGUCGCGUCGGGAGUGAAAACUCGGGGCUUAACUCCGAGCCUGCUUCUGAUACGGGCAGACUAGAGGUAUGCAGGGGAGAAUGGAAUUCCUGGUGUAGCGGUGAAAUGCGCAGAUAUCAGGAGGAACACCGGUGGCGAAAGCGGUUCUCUGGGCAUGACCUGACGCUGAGGAGCGAAAGUGUGGGGAGCGAACAGG